rnacentral:rRNA from 1 species
CCCUUAGAUGUUCUGGGCCGCACGCGCGCUACACUGACGAUGGCAACGAGUUUUUCCUUCGCCGAAAGGUGUGGGUAAUCUUUUGAAACAUCGUCGUGCUGGGGAUAGAUCAUUGCAAUUUUUGAUCUUGAACGAGGAAUUCCUAGUAAGCGCGAGUCAUCAGCUCGCGUUGAUUACGUCCCUGCCCUUUGUACACACCGCCCGUCGCUACUACCGAUUGAAUGGUUUAGUGAGGACUCCUGAUUGGCGCCGCCGCCCCGGCAACGGAGCAGCGGACUGCCGAAAAGUUGUUCAAACUUGAUCAUUUAGAGGAAGGAAAAGUCGUAACA